rnacentral:rRNA from 1 species
CAGCAGCCGCGGGAAUACGUAGGGUGCAAGCGUUAAUCGGAAUUACUGGGCGUAAAGCGUGCGCAGGCGGUUAUAUAAGACAGAUGUGAAAUCCCCGGGCUCAACCUGGGAACUGCAUUUGUGACUGUAUAGCUAGAGUACGGCAGAGGGGGAUGGAAUUCCGCGUGUAGCAGUGAAAUGCGUAGAUAUGCGGAGGAACACCGAUGGCGAAGGCAAUCCCCUGGGCCUGUACUGACGCUCAUGCACGAAAGCGUGGGGAGCAAACAGGAUUAGAUACCCCUGUAGUCCCUGUCUUUAUACC